GAUACCAAAAACACAAUCCCUAACCCAAAUCUCACUUCAACAGCCGCAACUCCUCUCUCUCUAGGAUCUCUCUCUCUACGAUCUCUCUCUCCCCUCUACGCCGGCGAACUCCCACGAGCCACCGCCUCUCCGAUCUCCUUGUGGAGAGUAGUUUGAGCAUCAGGUUGCACAUGGCUUGAGCCUACUAGAGCUUCUUCUACAACUUCUAGGACUGGUUUUUCUCUGACAUUUCCGGCGUCCACUUCUUCAGCUUCAACUCCUAGUGUUGUUGCUCCAUCUACAAGUUUUUGUUGUCUGACAAAGCAUCUGCACGAGCUUCAUCCUCGCAAUCUCAAUCAACUGCGAAUAUGCCAAGCAUUGAUGGAACCUGAUUAUAGCUGGAUAUAUCAACGAAAUAUUGAUAAUAGAAUGGGUGAGACUGAGAAUGAAGAUGCGGAUGAUGAGUUGUAGUUUUUUUUUUUUUUUUUGUAUGUUUUAUAGUUUGGAUUUGAAACCUCGAUAAAUUUUGUAAAUAAUUUGAUUUUUAAUAUUUGUAUUCUUAUGGUGGUUGGUUGAUUGUAUAUUAAAUGAUUGGUGGGCUGUAUUGUAAAUAAUUUUGGUCGGUUUUGUGGUCGAAAAUUGAGGAAAACCGACCAUGGUCGAUUUUCCUCUUUUUUUAAGUAGUGUUAUUAUUAUGUUAUUAUUUCAUUUA